CCUACGGGAGGCAGCAGUGAGGAAUAUUGGUCAAUGGACGAGAGUCUGAACCAGCCAAGUAGCGUGAAGGAUGACUGCCCUAUGGGUUGUAAACUUCUUUUAUAUGGGAAUAAAAUGUUCCACGUGUGGGAUUUUGUAUGUACCAUAUGAAUAAGGAUCGGCUAACUCCGUGCCAGCAGCCGCGGUAAUACGGAGGAUCCGAGCGUUAUCCGGAUUUAUUGGGUUUAAAGGGAGCGUAGGUGGAUUGUUAAGUCAGUUGUGAAAGUUUGCGGCUCAACCGUAAAAUUGCAGUUGAUACUGGCAGUCUUGAGUACAGUAGAGGUGGGCGGAAUUCGUGGUGUAGCGGUGAAAUGCUUAGAUAUCACGAAGAACCCCGAUUGCGAAGGCAGUUCACUGGACUGCAACUGACACUGAGGCUCGAAAGUGUGGGUAUCAAACAGGAUUAGAUACCCUUGUAGUC
rnacentral:rRNA from 1 species